rnacentral:lncRNA from 1 species
UCAGGAGGACAUGACUGUAGUUUACUCCUCUUUCUUGACUAGACUGAGGAUGCUGGGGGAUUGUAGUGACCACGUCCCAGCAGAGGACUCUAGACCUGACUUACUGGGCACCUCUUUCUUUGUGACCCCCUCACUUUGGAGGUGUCCUUGGUGUGAUCAUCCCAUGGGUUUAUGACGAGCUUCAGAAAAUACCCAACUCUACAGCCCCUGUACACCGUGGGAGUUUUCAGAGAAAGCUUGAUGUUGGAAGAGGAAACAUUUGUAACCCUUUGGAACUGGGUUCACUUUGUGGGUUCACUUCAACCUAAUGAGCUGGGGUAUAUGGGGCCUCUAAGUCCCAGUUUUCUUUUCUAUAAAAACAGGAAGUAUCCUCACCCCAUUGCAAGGGUGAUUAGGGGUUAGAGCUUAAGCAACUCCGUUGAAUAAGUGAAGGAAUUGUUCCAUCUGGGAGAACAGCUGUUCACCUUGUCCUCAGCCGUGUUUGAAAUGUCAAUCAACAAUUCCUGUUCCCUCUGAAAUCCCUUCCCAUGCUCAUUUUAUUAAUUUGUUUGUUUUAACUAAGCACUUGCUGCUGUCCAGC